GAGUUUGAUCGUGGCUCAGAUUGAACGCUGGCGGCAGGCCUAACACAUGCAAGUCGAGCGGUAGAGAGAAGCUUGCUUCUCUUGAGAGCGGCGGACGGGUGAGUAAUGCCUAGGAAUCUGCCUGGUAGUGGGGGAUAACGUUCGGAAACGGACGCUAAUACCGCAUACGUCCUACGGGAGAAAGCAGGGGACCUUCGGGCCUUGCGCUAUCAGAUGAGCCUAGGUCGGAUUAGCUAGUUGGUGAGGUAAUGGCUCACCAAGGCGACGAUCCGUAACUGGUCUGAGAGGAUGAUCAGUCACACUGGAACUGAGACACGGUCCAGACUCCUACGGGAGGCAGCAGUGGGGAAUAUUGGACAAUGGGCGAAAGCCUGAUCCAGCCAUGCCGCGUGUGUGAAGAAGGUCUUCGGGUUGUAAAGCACUUUAAGUUGGGAGGAAGGGCAGUUACCUAAUACGUGAUUGUUUUGACGUUACCGACAGAAUAAGCACCGGCUAACUCUGUGCCAGCCGCCG
rnacentral:rRNA from 1 species